CACCUAAACAGACUUUACAAAAAUUAUGAAAGCAAGCCAAGCCUUCUUGGUUCGUGUAGAGUUUCCAAACACAUGCAACAUGUGAGUAGUUCGUUGAUUUCAUCAACAGGAACACUUUCUGAUGAAGCACUUGCCAUUUCAAUUAAACCUUUCCUACUUCACAAUUUAGACAACAUAUUCCUUUGUGUCUUCUUUCCAACGAAAUGAUCGCAUAUAAAAAUCUUUGUGAAAGUGUCAGCAUUCUUUGAAAAUUG